rnacentral:rRNA from 1 species
UCGGGAAUUUUGGGCAAUGGGGGAAACCCUGACCCAGCAACGCCGCGUGAAGGAUGAAGUAUUUCGGUAUGUAAACUUCGAAAGAAUAGGAAGAAUAAAUGACGGUACUAUUUAUAAGGUCCGGCUAACUACGUGCCAGCAGCCGCGGUAAUACGAAGGGGGCUAGCGUUGUUCGGAUUUACUGGGCGUAAAGCGCGUGUAGGCGGACUUGUAAGUUGGGGGUGAAAUCCCGAGGCUCAACCUCGGAACUGCCUCCAAAACUACAAAUCUGGACCUAAGUAGAGGCAAGUGGAAUUGCGAGUGUAGAGGUGAAAUUCGUAGAUAUUCGCAGGAACACCAGUGGCGAAGGCGACUUGCUGGACUUAUGGUGACGCUGAGACGCGAAAGCGUGGGGAGCAAACAGGAUUAGAUACCCACGUAGUCCCUGAGCGGGCUGGCAAGGCGCAU